rnacentral:rRNA from 1 species
AUUGAACGCUGGCGGCAGGCUUAACACAUGCAAGUCGAGCGAGCGGCGGACGGGUGAGUAAUGUCUGGGAAACUGCCUGGUGGAGGGGGAUAACUACUGGAAACGGUAGCUAAUACCGCAUACCAUCAGAUGUGCCCAUAUCGGAUUAGCUAGUUGGUGGGGUAAUGGCUCACCAAGGCGACGAUCCCUAGCUGGUCUGAGAGGAUGACCAGCCACACUGGUACUGAGACACGGCCCAGACUCCUACGGGAGGCAGCAGUGGGGAAUUUUGCACAAUGGGGGAAAGCCUGAUGCAGCCAUGCCGCGUGUGUGAUGAAGGCCUUCGGGUUUUAAAGUACUUUCAGCAGGGAGGCGUUACUCGCAGAAGAAGCACCGGCUAACUACGUGCCAGCAGCCGCGGUAAUAC